UCAUCAUCAUCUUCAUCUUCUUCACCUUCAUCCUCAUCCCCUUCUUCGUCAAUAUCUUCUAAUCCUUCCUCCUCUUCAUCAUCAUCAUUUAUCCGUUUCCAAGAUGGAAGCUCAGAAUGCAAGUGAUCACCCUUUUCAGCUUCAGUAAACUCUGCAGGAAAUUUAUCUUCUUCUACUAGAAGACUCUCAUCUCCCACAUUUGGAAUCAGAGUAUAAUGAUUCUCAACAGCCUCCCCAUUACUCAAGACCUCUCCAAUACCUUGUUUUUCCUUGUAAAUUUCCCUAUUCUUCUCCAGCUCCAAAUCAUCAAAUUCUCUCUCCACUUCUUCAAUCACUUGUUUCUCAAAUUUAAUAUCCCGAGAACUCUCAUCAAUCAGUGGCAUAUAAUUAUCUAAAGCAUCAUCUCCCUCAAUCUUGCUAACUACAUUCUUCUCCCAAUUCUCUUCUCCAAUGGCUUCCUCUGCUGCAUCCUUUCUCUUCCCUACAAAAUUCUCUACAAAAAAGUUCUCAUCUUUCUCAACAACAACAGUGGCAUCCCCAAUAACCCCGGCUUUCAGAGAAGAAAUCUCAUGAGUAACUUCUUGUUCCGUCUCUUUUCCAAUUUCAGGUAUGUUGGGUUCCCCAAAACUCAAAAGGGUACCAAGCAAAAUAGCAGUACAAACAAAAACAGGGGAUGAAGAGACUAAAAGGGAAAACAAAAAAGGAAAUGAUCUGUACAAGAAUAUCAAGAAACACGCCAUCCCCACAAGAAAUGGAUGCUUACGAACUGAUUUAUAAGAUGUCCUAAUUGAAAUGACCAAAAACCUCCUGACUUGAACGCUAGUUCUCAUUGCAUCAAGACCCAUUCUCUCUCUUGUUCUUUCUAUGUUUCCAAUCCCAAUCUCAAAAAUCUAAUCAAAGGAAAUAAGGAGCAAUCCGAUGACGAUUGAAUUCAAUACCAGAAAGCCAGAAAUUGAGAGAAAAUUAUGGGAGUAUGUUUAUAGUCUGAGACUUUAUAGGAAAAUAAAACUAGAGCAAAGAAUAACUUACCAGAUUGAAACAGAGAUCAA
rnacentral:misc_RNA from 1 species